rnacentral:lncRNA from 1 species
GCAGUCACGUUGGUUCAUUUCGAGCGAUAUAAACGUGAGUUUCUGAGACGCAAUACCGCAUGAGACGUUUUGUAUACGUUCAAGUUGCCUAGCGACAACAACCUUUGAGGCUUGUCUAGAAGCCAGGAAAAUUGAUAAGCGGCAAUCGAUGGUCCAUUUCGCUAGGGAACACUUCACCGUUUAAUUCCCAGCCAUCGACGACCUGCACGAUAUAAAAAUACAUUCUGAAUGGACUGUUGUCACGGCACAGUGAUGCAUUGGAAAAACGUAUCUACUGGAAUGAAUACAUACAAGUAAAAUACACGUUUCUGUAUUCAAAAAAGGAGGCGAGGAUUAUCGGAGAGAAACUGAAACUCUAGUACUAUACAAUAGCCUCCACUAUAUAAAAUGCUCAGUAAUAAAUAUAUUCGAAAAUGGAGAAUUAAAGGAUUACGUUUUUCAAGCUUUAUUUCGUAGCUAUGGACAUUGAAAGAUUAACCAACAUGCUCCUGAUGAUUGCACUAUAUAAAGUGUUCAACUUUGCAGGCAUAGUUAAUAAGUGUCUCUAUGAGCCGAAAUAAAUUGAGAAUGUAGAAUGACAAAAUUAGGUUUGAGGUUUCUCUUGUUAGUUAUUAGCACUUAAAGAUCGAACACAAUGCCCCUGACGCGCGGCAGACUUCUUUGCAAGAUCAUAUGUAGGGCAGCCUAAGCAAAGGAGCACAGAUUAUUAUACGUACAGUUGUGAAUAUACAUACAUAUAAAUAUAUAUACUGAUAUUA